AGUGAACGCUGGCGGUAGGCCUAACACAUGCAAGUCGAACGGCAGCACAGUAAGAGCUUGCUCUUACGGGUGGCGAGUGGCGGACGGGUGAGGAAUACAUCGGAAUCUACUUUUUCGUGGGGGAUAACGUAGGGAAACUUACGCUAAUACCGCAUACGACCUACGGGUGAAAGCAGGGGAUCUUCGGACCUUGCGCGAUUGAAUGAGCCGAUGUCGGAUUAGCUAGUUGGCGGGGUAAAGGCCCACCAAGGUGACGAUCCGUAGCUGGUCUGAGAGGAUGAUAAGCCACACUGGAACUGAGACGCGGUCCAGACUCCUACGGGAGGCAGCAGUGGGGAAUAUUGGACAAUGGGCGCAAGCCUUAUCCAGCCAUACCGCGUGGGUGAAGGAGGCCUUCGGGUUGUAAAGCCCUUUUGUUGGGAAAGAAAAGCAGCAGGUUAAUACCCCGCUGUUCUGACGGUACCCAAAGAAUAAGCACCGGCUAACUUCGUG
rnacentral:rRNA from 1 species